ACUCCUACGGAAGGCAGCAGUGGGGAAUUUUGGACAAUGGGCGAAAGCCUGAUCCAGCCAUUCCGCGUGCAGGAUGAAGGCCCUCGGGUUGUAAACUGCUUUUGUACAGAACGAAAAAGCUCUGGCUAAUACCUGGAGUCCAUGACGGUACUGUAAGAAUAAGCACCGGCUAACUACGUGCCAGCAGCCGCGGUAAU
rnacentral:rRNA from 1 species